CCUACGGGAGGCAGCAGUGAGGAAUAUUGGUCAAUGGGCGGGAGCCUGAACCAGCCAAGCCGCGUGAGGGAAGAAGGUACAGCGUAUCGUAAACCUCUUUUGUCAGGGAACAAAGUCGGGGACUAGUCCCCUGCUGAGGGUACCUUACGAAAAAGCAUCGGCUAACUCCGUGCCAGCAGCCGCGGUAAUACGGAGGAUGCGAGCGUUAUCCGGAUUUAUUGGGUUAAAAGGGUGCGCAGGCGGCCUGUUAAGUCAGCGGUAAAAGCCCGGGGCUCAACCCCGGCGAGCCGUUGAUACUGGCGGGCUGGAGUUGGAGAGAAGUACGCGGAAUGCGCGGUGAAGCGGUGAAAUGCUUAGAUAUCGCGCAGAACCCCGAUUGCGAAGGCAGCGUACCGGGUCCACACUGACGCUGAGGCACGAAAGCGUGGGUAGCGAACAGGAUUAGAUACCCGUGUAGUC
rnacentral:rRNA from 1 species